CCAGCUGUGUGUCCAACCCCACAGGGAUUUUCUGGAUCAAUAACCCAGUUGUGUGUCCAACUGGGAUUUUCUGGAUCAAUAACCCAGCUGUGUGUCCAAAUCCACACGGAUGUCCUAGAAAAAUAGCCAAGCUCUGUAUUCAACCCUACAGGGAUUUUCUGGAUCAAUAACCCAGCUGUGUGUCCAUCUCCACUGGGACUUUCUGGAUCAAUAACCCAGUUGUGUGUCCAACAGGGAUUUUCUGGAUCAAUAACCCAGCUGUGCGUCCAACCCCACAGGGAUUUUCUGGAUCAAUAACCCAGCUGUGUGUCCAACAGGGAUUUUCUGGAUCAAUAACCCAGUUGUGUGUCCAACCCCACA
ensembl:lncRNA